CUGGUCUCCUCUGAACUACAUCAUGUUGACUCUGAGGAUCACAGCACUGAUUCUGAUGAUCAGAGUCUCUGUAGCUGUCAACAGAAAAAGAGUAAGUGAACAGUUACUGAACGACAUCAGGGUUGGUAACUAUGAUAAAGAUGAAGAUGAUGAUUCUACAGUGAGCUAUGAAAAUGUGUGAAGAUCUUCUGCUGCUCCAACAUCAAACUGAACUUCAAACAAAUGGCAAAGCUAUAAAAAUGAGUUUCAAUAUGUU